rnacentral:rRNA from 1 species
GACAUAGGUGGCGAACGUUAUCCGGAAUUAUUGGGCGUAAAGGAUGCGUAGAUGGUAGAAUAAGUUAUUGGUCGAUGCCAAACUCAAUUUGGCGGAAGCUGGUAAUACUGUUCAGCUAGAGGGCAGGAGAGGUUGAUGGAAUUCUGUGUGGAGCGGUGAAAUGCGUUGAUCUGCAGAGGAACACCAAAAAAGGCGAAGGCAGUCAACUAUUCUGUUACUGACAUUGAGGCAUGAAAGCGUGGGGAGCAAACCGG